UACAGAGGUCUCAAGCGUUGUUCGGAUUCAUUGGGCGUAAAGGGUGCGUAGGCGGCUUUGUAAGUCAGUGGUGAAAUAUGGCAGCUUAACUGUCAAGGUGCCAUUGAUACUGCGGAGCUUGAGUACAGAUGAGGUAGGCGGAAUUGACGGUGUAGCGGUGAAAUGCUUAGAUAUCGUCAAGAACACCUAUAGCGAAGGCAGCUUACUAGGCUGUAACUGACGCUGAGGCACGAAAGUGUGGGGAUCAAACAGG
rnacentral:rRNA from 1 species